GGGUCGAUGCCCAAGUGAUGGGACGACUGUAAAUUCGUUAACAAUGUCUACGCUGGUUCAAAUCCAGCUCGGCCCA
rnacentral:tRNA from 1 species